rnacentral:tRNA from 1 species
GAGGGCCCAGCUCAGUGGUAGAGCGCAUGCCUAGCAUGGCAUGAGGGCCUGGGUUCAAUCCCCAGUACCUUCA